AUGUGUGUAUAUGUAUGUGUAUAUGUGUGUGCAUAUGUGCACAUAUGUGUGUGUACACAUAUCAUAGCAUGUAUGUGAGGGUCAGAGGACAGCUUGCAGGAGUUGGUUCUUUCCUUCCACCAUGUGAAUUCUGGGGAUUGAACUCAGGUCAUCACGCUUGGCUGCAAGCAUCUUAACCCACUGAGCCGGUGACAGCUUUGAGUAGAGUAUUUGUGAUGGUUGAUGCUGACUGUCCACUUGACAGCAUCUGGCAUCGCCUAGGAGACAAGCCUCCAUCCGGGCAUGCCUGGGAAGGACUGUCUCCAUAGGUUUACCACGGUGGGAAGACAAACCUUCAGAGAGAGCAGUGUCGUUCCCUGGGCGGGGUCCCAGACCACAUAAAAAGGAGAAGGCGAGUUGGACCCCAGCAUCCGUCUCUCUCUGUUUCCUGACUGCAGGCGCAAUGUGACCACUGCCUCCAGCUCCUGCCUCGGUGACGUCCGUACCAUGAUGGGCUGCAACUAAGUCGGAAUAGACCCUCCACCCUUCAACUUCUUCUGUCCGGAAAUAUUUGCUGAAUGCCGAUGACAUACUGAGUGCCUUGAGAGUGCAGAGAGAACUGAAGGAAGACGCUCUGCCUCAGAGAACCUUCACUGGGACCCUGGUUGUUAAGUAAAAGUCAACAAGGCCCUGGCUGGCCUGAGGCAACAGGAAGAGAAGCGCAGGUGAAGACAGUUCUCUAUUGGCUGCUGUCUUUCGGUGUAUCCUCAUACCUACCCAGGGCACUGACCACACCUCCUUUUCUCCUAGAGGAGCCUGGUCUGGUUUGGGGUGAUGUCCCUCUCCUUCAGCACUGGUUGUUCUCCCUUCUGACAGGACCUGAGUGCUGCCUUGAAGGGGUUGGGGGUGGGGUGUGUGACAGCAGAGACUGAGAGAGCUUGGAGGAAGGGGAAGACUUAACGACUUGGAGGGUGGGGAGAGGUGGAGGGGCCUGAUUGUUCCGGCUCUGUGCAUACAGGGACGUGUCCUCUGAGCGCAUGUUACCUCAUGGAGCCCUGUGUCCUAGCUCUGGAGGUCAAGAAGAAGACAUGCUGGGAAGCUUCAGCAAGCAUGGGCUGACGUGGUCCAUCUGUCUUCAGCAUCAUGUUUCCCCUCCCCUGCCUCACCAGGAAGCAGACUCCCUACCACAGCCUUGGAAGUUCAGCUGAACCAAUGUUGUGAACCGGGGUCCGGACCACCAUUUAGAUAUUUGGGGGGGUCUCAUGCCUAGGGCUGCACCAUCUGUCUUUGCUCUGGGUGUUCAAGGAGACAACCAGAAUCCCAAUUUCAGCCUGGGAAAGGCCAGUUGCUCUUCAGACUGUUCCCAGCUUCCAUGCUACCAAGUCCUCCCAGCAGUCCCAAGGUUAGAUCACAAUGCCUCGUUGCAACUAGGGGACUAGUUGCCAGGGCACUGGGCUCUUUGUCUCCAGGUCCUGGAGUGCUCUGUCCCUUGUUCUCCCUCCCUCCCUCCAUGCAGAAUCCCAGUAUCCACAGGGCCUCCUGCAAUCCAGGGAAGCAUUGCAGCACAGAGCUGCAUCUCCAGCUCUUACUGCAUUUCAUUUUCAGUGCCUCACUCAGUUGCCUAGACUGACCUUGGACUUACUCUAUACCCUAGACUGGACUUGAACUUGCAAUCCUCCUGCCUCAACCUCUUCAGUCACUGAGCUGAUAGGCAGUGCCAUCAGACCUGUAUAAGACCUGGUAUCCUCAUGUCUGGGCCCAGGGCAAAGACUGUUCUGGAGAAUUUUGACUCCAAGUGCAGCCCCUUGACUGCCAUGGGUCUGACUGAAGGCCAUCUCAUCGUCACUUGGACUCAUCCAAGUCUGAGGUCAGACUCAGAAUUUCCAUUCUCUUCACCCCCACUUUCGUUUGGAAAUGGAGAGUGAUGACCUCCCGCCUCCAGUGUGGCCACUGGGUGAACUCAGGUUUGCCACAAAACCUGUCCCUGGCUCCCACUUAAAUGUUCUCCUCCCUCCCCUCCCAGCAGCUGCAAUCUCUUCCCUGAGUAGCGUCUUCUUUAUUUCCUCUCCAUGACUGCAGCUGAUCUCCCUGCAAAUAUACUUCACUGCUAUUAAAAGAAGCCCUAAACACUAAACACAUUGUAUAUCGUCUUUGAAGGCAAAUGGCCUCAGACUCCUGCAAGGAUAAAGCUUGCCAAUAGAGUGAUGGACCCCUGCAACAGCCAUUGCUGGGGAGACACCCUACACAGUCUCAGACCCCUUCUCUGGGGUGCAGGAGAGCCUGAAGAGAACAAGAAGGAGACAGAGGAGAUGAUGUCUGAUCCAGAGGGAGGCCCACCUCUGUCCUGCGACAUCCCAGGUGAUGCCCAGAGGAGAAAAGAGGAAAUGGAGGGCUGGCAGUCCUCACCAGGAUGCUACUUGGGGUUUCCUGUAGGCACUGAUCCCCCCAAGAGCCCUGGGGUUCCUCUCAAGACAGGGAGAAAAUAAGUCUUCAUGCACCCAAAGGCUCAGGGAAGAACCAGGACUGGGGGACAGUUCAGUGACUCACGCUGGAUUCUCAACACUCGGGAUGCUAGCCUGGACUAUAUAGUGAUUACCAGGCUAUCCUGAGCAACAUGUGAGACCCUGCUUCAACCUGCUCUCCCUGCCCCCCCCCCCAAAAUGGAAUGUUUGGGGUUAUAUAUUUACAAUUGCCUGUCCCCUUCCUAUGACCCUGCUUGGGGUAAGUUGUCACACUGGCUGACACAGCCACGAGCCCUACAGUGUGGAGGUUUGUCCAGAGCUCUGAGAGACCAGAGUGGGGAGAAACUGCCCAUGAAGGGCCUGGUAUGAUGGAGGGGGAAGCUCAGAGCUCAGACAGCUCCUGAUCUGAUGGGGGAACCCAGCACAUGGGCUGAGAAGGUGGUGGAGGCUCCCUGAGCUCCCAGUGGCUG